UUGAAGAAAUGCAUAAAUAAUUAAAUAAAUGAACUAAUAAAUAACAAAAAUAUAUAAAAAUAAAGGGUUUGGAGGAAUAGUAACAUGAUAUAAAUGCUGCAGAUAAAACAAUGGAGGAAACUGCAGCGAAGUAGCACCUUUGAAUACCCAUUACUAAAACGUGACUCUCGGCCACUCAAACAACGGACCCUACUAUGCCAAUCCCAUUAUCUAAACUAUGAAUUGUUUUUCUUUAGCUAUCCAUGAAAGGAGGAAAGCACAUUUUGAAAGCAACCCCAACUCUACGCCAUAAAGGAGGAAACAGUAUUCUAAGGUCCCUAUCCUUAAACAACUCCUUCAGGGCAUUCUCACUUCUGCUCUGCUCUAUAAACGACAAACAGAUUUGCAAGCAUACGGGGAUACCGAAGUCAACCUUUCCUUGCGUUUCUCCAGAAACAUCUGCAAAGAUUUUCUCCUAGCAAUUGGCAGAUCUCCGUCAAGAGUCCCCAGCAGCUGUUUUUGAUUGGUUGAUUCAACAAAUUUGGAGAUUCCAUUUUGGGCAAGUUUCAAAAUCGUCUCCGCCUUAUCUCGAGGAACAUCGAAAACCGCAACGGUUCCGUUGUAGAAGAUCGUCAAAGGAGCCGUUUGAGGAGGAUUCUCUAAAGCAGGCCUUUGAAGAGGAGAAUAGACAGGUAAAGGAGGAAAUGGAUUGAGUUCUUCUUUAGGAGUAGAAGGCACCGAAAAUGACUUUUUUGAAUCGAGCUGAUGGCCAUUUUCCGGAGUCUGCUGAUUGGCAGAGCCAGAGGCAAUUACAGACUUGAGAAGCUGAGGAUUGAUUUUUGAAAUGGCACUUUGAAUAUCUCGAAAGCUCCUCUGGCGAUGAAGGAACUUGGGGAAGCGAGAGUUAGCAGAGAUCCGUUUCUCCAUGCCAAAGAAAUCGAGCUCGACACUUGCUCUAGACAUUUCUGAUUAAAUCGAGAACGUUAUGAAGGUAGUAAAAAACGUA
rnacentral:misc_RNA from 1 species